CAGCAGUGGGGAAUAUUGCACAAUGGGCGAAAGCCUGAUGCAGCGACGCCGCGUGAGGGAUGACGGCCUUCGGGUUGUAANACCUCUUUCAGUAGGGAAGAAGCGAAAGUGACGGUACCUGCAGAAGAMGCACCGNGCUAACUACGUGCCAGCAGCCGCGGUAAUACGUAGGGUGCGAGCGUUAUCCGGAAUUAUUGGGCGUAAAGAGCUCGUAGGCGGUUUGUCGCGUCUGUCGUGAAAGUCCGGGGCUUAACCCCGGAUCUGCGGUGGGUACGGGCAGACUAGAGUGCAGUAGGGGAGACUGGAAUUCCUGGUGUAGCGGUGGAAUGCGCAGAUAUCAGGAGGAACACCGAUGGCGAAGGCAGGUCUCUGGGCUGUAACUGACGCUGAGGAGCGAAAGCAUGGGGAGCGAACAGGAUUAGAUACCCUGGUAGUCCAUGCCGUAAACGUUGGGCACUAGGUGUGGGGACCAUUCCACGGUUUCCGCGCCGCAGCUAACGCAUUAAGUGCCCCGCCUGGGGAGUACGGCCGCAAGGCUAAAACUCAAAGGAAUUGACGGGGGCCCGCACAAGCGGCGGAGCAUGCGGAUUAAUUCGAUGCAACGCGAAGAACCUUACCAAGGCUUGACAUGUUCUCGAUCGCCGUAGAGAUACGGUUUCCCCUUUGGGGCGGGUUCACAGGUGGUGCAUGGUUGUCGUCAGCUCGUGUCGUGAGAUGUUGGGUUAAGUCCCGCAACGAGCCGCAACCC
rnacentral:rRNA from 2 species